rnacentral:rRNA from 1 species
AUAUGGUAGGAGAGCGUUCUGUAAGCCUGCGAAGGUGUCUUGUAAAGGAUGCUGGAGGUAUCAGAAGUGCGAAUGCUGACAUGAGUAGCGAUAAUGGGGGUGAAAAGCCUCCACGCCGUAAGCCCAAGGUUUCCUGUUCAACGUUCAUCGGAGCAGGGUGAGUCGGCCCCUAAGGCGAGGCAGAGAUGCGUAGCUGAUGGGAAGCAGGUUAAUAUUCCUGCACCGUCGUAUGAUGCGAUGGGGGGACGGAUCGCGGAAGGUUGUCUGGCUGUUGGAAUAGCCAGUUUUUGACUCAUAGAAGGU